CUUUCCGUUAAAACUCUCACAUUUACCCGUCUAACUAUUCAAUUAAAAUCAGUUUUUAUUUUUAUUUAGUCGAAAUUCAAUUUAUUAUUGUUAUACCCGACUUCUCAACAUUUUCUUGUUAAGUGUCAAACGGUAUUAUCUUUUUUUUAGUGUUUCAUAACUGUCUCUCAUAGCUAUCAAAUAACACAACCUACAAAACAAGAAAGGUUCUCCAAAAUAUCAGCCUUCUCCCAAACGGAUGUUGAUUUAUUUUUUAAAAAAUUGACAAAUUUCAAAAACAGGAGGAAUGGCAGACGCUUCUGUUAACAAUGCGAGCACCGAGGAUGUAAACAAGUUCUUCCAAGUCGCAAUGGAACUUGUCGAAAGAACCGGAGAACGCCAGAUUGGCAGAAAUGUGCUAGCUUGAUGUGUUGUGGAGACGUGCAGAAUGUUGUGCUCAAUUCACUUUUCACCUGGAAAUAAUCGAAGCAACCGCUGUUCUCUACCAACUGUUUUCACCUUACUUCAGAUGAGAAGAUUGAACUAUCUGCAAUACAGUUUAAAUUAAUCAGUUUGGAGAUUUGAAUAAUAAAUAACUAAACACUUCAA